rnacentral:rRNA from 1 species
AUACGUAGGGGGCGUAGCGUUAUCCGGAUUUACUGGGCGUAAAGGGUGCGUAGGUGGUUUCUUAAGUCAGGAGUGAAAGGCUACGGCUCAACCAUAGUAAGCCUUGCGAACUGUGAGACUUGAGUGCAGGAGAGGAAAGUGGAAUUCCUAGUGUAGCGGUGAAAUGCGUAGAUAUUAGGAGGAACACCAGUGGCGAAGGCGACUUUCUGGACUGUUACUGACACUGAGGCACGAAAGCGUGGGGAGC